rnacentral:rRNA from 1 species
GGGUUGUGAGGUUAAGCGACUAAGCGUACACGGUGGAUGCCCUGGCAGUCAGAGGCGAUGAAGGACGUGCUAAUCUGCGAUAAGCGUCGGUAAGGUGAUAUGAACCGUUAUAACCGGCGAUUUCCGAAUGGGGAAACCCAGUGUGUUUCGACACACUAUCAUUAACUGAAUCCAUAGGUUAAUGAGGCGAACCGGGGGAACUGAAACAUCUAAGUACCCCGAGGAAAAGAAAUCAACCGAGAUUCCCCCAGUAGCGGCGAGCGAACGGGGAGCAGCCCAGAGCCUGAAUCAGUGUGUGUGUUAGUGGAAGCGUCUGGAAAGGCGCGCGAUACAGGGUGACAGCCCCGUACACAAAAAUGCACAUGCUGUGAGCUCGAUGAGUAGGGCGGGACACGUGGUAUCCUGUCUGAAUAUGGGGGGACCAUCCUCCAAGGCUAAAUACUCCUGACUGACCGAUAGUGAACCAGUACCGUGAGGGAAAGGCGAAAAGAACCCCGGCGAGGGGAGUGAAAAAGAACCUGAAACCGUGUACGUACAAGCAGUGGGAGCACGCUUAGGCGUGUGACUGCGUACCUUUUGUAUAAUGGGUCAGCGACUUAUAUUCUGUAGCAAGGUUAACCGAAUAGGGGAGCCGAAGGGAAACCGAGUCUUAACUGGGCGUUAAGUUGCAGGGUAUAGACCCGAAACCCGGUGAUCUAGCCAUGGGCAGGUUGAAGGUUGGGUAACACUAACUGGAGGACCGAACCGACUAAUGUUGAAAAAUUAGCGGAUGACUUGUGGCUGGGGGUGAAAGGCCAAUCAAACCGGGAGAUAGCUGGUUCUCCCCGAAAGCUAUUUAGGUAGCGCCUCGUGAAUUCAUCUCCGGGGGUAGAGCACUGUUUCGGCAAGGGGGUCAUCCCGACUUACCAACCCGAUGCAAACUGCGAAUACCGGAGAAUGUUAUCACGGGAGACACACGGCGGGUGCUAACGUCCGUCGUGAAGAGGGAAACAACCCAGACCGCCAGCUAAGGUCCCAAAGUCAUGGUUAAGUGGGAAACGAUGUGGGAAGGCCCAGACAGCCAGGAUGUUGGCUUAGAAGCAGCCAUCAUUUAAAGAAAGCGUAAUAGCUCACUGGUCGAGUCGGCCUGCGCGGAAGAUGUAACGGGGCUAAACCAUGCACCGAAGCUGCGGCAGCGACGCUUAUGCGUUGUUGGGUAGGGGAGCGUUCUGUAAGCCUGCGAAGGUGUGCUGUGAGGCAUGCUGGAGGUAUCAGAAGUGCGAAUGCUGACAUAAGUAACGAUAAAGCGGGUGAAAAGCCCGCUCGCCGGAAGACCAAGGGUUCCUGUCCAACGUUAAUCGGGGCAGGGUGAGUCGACCCCUAAGGCGAGGCCGAAAGGCGUAGUCGAUGGGAAACAGGUUAAUAUUCCUGUACUUGGUGUUACUGCGAAGGGGGGACGGAGAAGGCUAUGUUGGCCGGGCGACGGUUGUCCCGGUUUAAGCGUGUAGGCUGGUUUUCCAGGCAAAUCCGGAAAAUCAAGGCUGAGGCGUGAUGACGAGGCACUACGGUGCUGAAGCAACAAAUGCCCUGCUUCCAGGAAAAGCCUCUAAGCAUCAGGUAACAUCAAAUCGUACCCCAAACCGACACAGGUGGUCAGGUAGAGAAUACCAAGGCGCUUGAGAGAACUCGGGUGAAGGAACUAGGCAAAAUGGUGCCGUAACUUCGGGAGAAGGCACGCUGAUAUGUAGGUGAGGUCCCUCGCGGAUGGAGCUGAAAUCAGUCGAAGAUACCAGCUGGCUGCAACUGUUUAUUAAAAACACAGCACUGUGCAAACACGAAAGUGGACGUAUACGGUGUGACGCCUGCCCGGUGCCGGAAGGUUAAUUGAUGGGGUUAGCGCAAGCGAAGCUCUUGAUCGAAGCCCCGGUAAACGGCGGCCGUAACUAUAACGGUCCUAAGGUAGCGAAAUUCCUUGUCGGGUAAGUUCCGACCUGCACGAAUGGCGUAAUGAUGGCCAGGCUGUCUCCACCCGAGACUCAGUGAAAUUGAACUCGCUGUGAAGAUGCAGUGUACCCGCGGCAAGACGGAAAGACCCCGUGAACCUUUACUAUAGCUUGACACUGAACAUUGAGCCUUGAUGUGUAGGAUAGGUGGGAGGCUUUGAAGUGUGGACGCCAGUCUGCAUGGAGCCGACCUUGAAAUACCACCCUUUAAUGUUUGAUGUUCUAACGUUGACCCGUAAUCCGGGUUGCGGACAGUGUCUGGUGGGUAGUUUGACUGGGGCGGUCUCCUCCUAAAGAGUAACGGAGGAGCACGAAGGUUGGCUAAUCCUGGUCGGACAUCAGGAGGUUAGUGCAAUGGCAUAAGCCAGCUUGACUGCGAGCGUGACGGCGCGAGCAGGUGCGAAAGCAGGUCAUAGUGAUCCGGUGGUUCUAAAUGGAAGGGCCAUCGCUCAACGGAUAAAAGGUACUCCGGGGAUAACAGGCUGAUACCGCCCAAGAGUUCAUAUCGACGGCGGUGUUUGGCACCUCGAUGUCGGCUCAUCACAUCCUGGGGCUGAAGUAGGUCCCAAGGGUAUGGCUGUUCGCCAUUUAAAGUGGUACGCGAGCUGGGUUUAGAACGUCGUGAGACAGUUCGGUCCCUAUCUGCCGUGGGCGCUGGAGAACUGAGGGGGGCUGCUCCUAGUACGAGAGGACCGGAGUGGACGCAUCACUGGUGUUCGGGUUGUCAUGCCAAUGGCACUGCCCGGUAGCUAAAUGCGGAAGAGAUAAGUGCUGAAAGCAUCUAAGCACGAAACUUGCCCCGAGAUGAGUUCUCCCUGACCCUUUAAGGGUCCUGAAGGAACGUUGAAGACGACGACGUUGAUAGGCCGGGUGUGUAAGCGCAGCGAUGCGUUGAGCUAACCGGUACUAAUGAACCGUGAGGCUUAACCUUACAACGCCGAAGCUGUU